UACAGAGGUCUCAAGCGUUGUUCGGAUUCAUUGGGCGUAAAGGGUGCGUAGGCGGCGCAGUAAGUCGGGUGUGAAAUCUCGGGGCUUAACUCCGAAACUGCAUUCGAUACUGCCGUGCUUGAGGACUGGAGAGGAGACUGGAAUUUACGGUGUAGCGGUGAAAUGCGUAGAUAUCGUAAGGAAGACCAGUGGCGAAGGCGGGUCUCUGGACAGUUCCUGACGCUGAGGCACGAAGGCCAGGGGAGCAAACGGG
rnacentral:rRNA from 1 species